ACACAUAUGAAGUGUGUGUGUGUGUGUGUGUGUGUGUGUGUGUAUAUAUAUAUAUAUACAUGUAUAAAACAUCUGUGAAAGAAUUAU
rnacentral:miRNA from 12 species